AUGAACAAAAGUUCAAGAACUCCAAUUUCCUGCGAGGAUCAGCUGAUUGCCGAGUUUGGUAACACCUUAAACUGUCAUAUUGAACAACUUCCCAUAAAGUAUUUGGGUCUACCUCUUAGUCUGAAAAAAUUGCGCAAAGAGGACUUUCAGUGCUUGAUUGACAAGAUCAGGAAAAAAUUAGGGACAUGGCGAACCGGCUUUCUGUUUCGGAGUGGUCGUUUGAUAUUGGUUCAGACCAUGCUUUCGGCUAUACCAAUUUUCCACCUCAUGUCGUUGGAUCCACCUCCGUGGGUGUUCAAGGCCAUUGAUAAAAUUAGGAGAGCUUUUCUUUGGAAGGGUACUGAAGUUGUGAAUGGUGGCCAUUGU
rnacentral:rRNA from 1 species